UCCUCAGUGUCCUUGGGUUAACAGGAGAGGCUAAGUGGAUCAAGAGCCUGUGCUGCAGACUGACAGGAGGUUGGUGCUGUGUCCACCAGGGUAGGAAGCAGGCAGGCAUCAUGGAGCAGCCAAUCAGAGGAGGAGGGGACUGCAGAGGAACCAAGUGAUCCUGCUGCAGCUGAACUGUCCUUGGAGGGUGGGAGCCAAGGGAAGGGGAGGAGGAGAGGGAGUGGGGAUGGACAUUCCACAGGCUUUUUUGGCCCCUGCCAGAGACAGGGGGGUCAAAGAAAAAGGGAAAGGAGCAAGCCAGGAAGCCAGAUGACAGGAGCAUCAAGACAAGGCUGUUUCUGUGUUUGAGAAACUUUGCCUGGGAGAUAAAAUUAGACCUAGAGCUUGCUGACAGGGGUCUGAAGCGUGGGGCAUGGACCCUUCACUGGGAUGGCAAGGGAAUUCUGUCCCUGAAGAUGGGACUGAAGCUGGGAUCAAGCGUUUCCUGGAAGACACCACUGAUGAUGCUGAACUGAGCAAGUUCGUGAAGGAUUUCCCAGGAAGCGAGCACUGCCACCCACCAGAGGCCAAGACCAGGCCCCAAUUCCCGGAGCCAAGGCCCCAGGCCCCAGACAUCUAUGAUGAUGACCUGGAGUUCAGAGCCCCCUCAUGGCCCCAGUCCUCUGACAGCCAGCAGAACUUCUGUGCCCCAGCCCCUCUGAGCCCCUCCACCAGGCCCCGUAGCCCAUGGGGCAAGCUUGAUCCUUAUGAUUCCUCUGAGGAUGACAAGGAGUAUGUAGGCUUUGCAACCCUCCCCAACCAAGUUCACCGAAAGUCUGUGAAGAAAGGCUUUGACUUUACCCUCAUGGUGGCAGGAGAGUCUGGCCUGGGAAAAUCCACUCUUGUCAACAGCCUCUUCCUCACUGAUCUGUACAGGGACCGGAAACUCCUUGGUGCUGAAGAGCGGAUCAUGCAAACUGUGGAGAUUACAAAGCAUGCAGUGGAUAUAGAAGAGAAGGGUGUGAGGCUGCGGCUCACCAUUGUGGACACACCAGGGUUUGGGGAUGCAGUCAACAACACAGAGUGCUGGAAACCUGUGGCAGAAUACAUCGACCAGCAGUUUGAGCAGUAUUUCCGAGAUGAGAGUGGCCUGAACCGCAAGAACAUCCAAGACAACAGGGUGCACUGCUGCCUGUACUUCAUCUCACCCUUCGGCCACGGGCUCCGGCCAUUGGAUGUUGAAUUCAUGAAGGCCCUGCAUCAGCGGGUCAACAUCGUGCCUAUCUUGGCUAAGGCGGACACAUUGACACCUCCCGAAGUGGACCGCAAGAAACGCAAAAUCCGGGAGGAGAUUGAGUACUUUGGAAUCAAGAUCUAUCAGUUCCCUGAUUGUGAUUCUGAUGAGGAUGAGGACUUCAAAUUACAAGACCAAGCCCUAAAGGAAAGUAUCCCAUUUGCAGUAAUUGGCAGCAACACUGUGGUGGAAGCCAGAGGGCGGAGAGUUCGGGGCCGACUCUACCCAUGGGGCAUUGUGGAAGUGGAAAACCCAGGGCACUGCGACUUUGUGAAGCUGAGGACAAUGCUGGUGCGUACCCACAUGCAGGACCUGAAGGAUGUGACACGGGAAACACAUUAUGAGAACUACAGGGCACAGUGCAUCCAGAGUAUGACCCGCCUAGUGGUGAAGGAACGAAAUCGCAAGUAUGGCCAGAAUCUAAGACAAAGCUGGCAGGGGGAUCCCAAGACCUUCCCUUGUUCUUCUAUUGGCCCUGAGCUCAACCUAAGUUGGUGCUGGGGUCCCCCUAACUUUACCACCCUCCUUUCCCCUUCCCCUCAGCAAACUGACUCGAGAGAGUGGUACUGACUUCCCCAUCCCUGCUGUCCCACUAGGGACAGAUCCAGAAACUGAGAAGCUAAUCCGAGAGAAAGAUGAGGAGCUGCGGCGGAUGCAGGAGAUGCUACACAAAAUCCAAAGACAGAUGAAGGAGACCCAUUAACUGCUUUUGGACCUGGAUAUUUAAACCUCCUCUUCUUUCUGCCCAUGCCAGCCUCUCCCAGCACCAGCUCUGCUCAGGCCCUUGCAGCUACUGCCACUUCGCCUUAUAUCCCUGCUGACUCCUCAGAGAAUCAGAGGAAAUAAAAUUUAAUAAAUCUAUAGGUGGCUUCUGGUGUUCCUGUCUGUAUGUUUACCACCUCCUAAAGAGCAAGAGCCUAGGACUCAGUUUGAAAGGCUGAUGGAAAGGGUUGUUGGUUUCUGGCUUUUAGUAGGGAAGGGAGAGU